UACGUAGGUGGCAAGCGUUGUCCGGAUUUACUGGGCGUAAAGCGCGCGCAGGCGGGUUGGUCAGUCUGGGGUGAAAUCUCACGGCUCAACCGUGAGGGGUCCCUGGAUACUGCCAGCCUUGAGGGGCUCAGAGGAGAGUGGAAUUCCGGGUGUAGUGGUGGAAUGCGUAGAUAUCCGGAGGAACACCAGUGGCGAAAGCGGCUCUCUGGGGGCAACCUGACGCUGAGGCGCGAAAGCGUGGGGAGCGAACAGG
rnacentral:rRNA from 1 species